rnacentral:rRNA from 1 species
AUUGAACGCUGGCGGCAGGCCUAACACAUGCAAGUCGAACGAGUGGCGGACGGGUGAGUAAUGUCUGGGAAACUGCCUGAUGGAGGGGGAUAACUACUGGAAACGGUAGCUAAUACCGCAUACCAGCGGAUGGGCCCAGAUGGGAUUAGCUAGGAGGUGGGGUAAAGGCUCACCAAGGCGACGAUCCCUAGCUGGUCUGAGAGGAUGACCAGCCACACUGGAACUGAGACACGGUCCAGACUCCUACGGGAGGCAGCAGUGGGGAAUAUUGCACAAUGGGCGCAAGCCUGAUCCAGCCAUGCCGCGUGUAUGAAGAAGGCCUUCGGGUUGUAAAGUACUUUCAGCUGGGAGGCGUUACCCGCAGAAGAAGCACCGGCUAACUCCGUGCCAGCCGCCGCGGUAAUAC